rnacentral:rRNA from 1 species
GGUCGAAGCUCUUGAUCGAAGCCCCGGUAAACGGCGGCCGUAACUAUAACGGUCCUAAGGUAGCGAAAUUCCUUGUCGGGUAAGUUCCGACCUGCACGAAUGGCGUAAUGAUGGCCACGCUGUCUCCACCCGAGACUCAGUGAAAUUGAAAUCGCUGUGAAGAUGCAGUGUACCCGCGGCUAGACGGAAAGACCCCGUGAACCUUUACUACAGCUUGGCACUGAACAUUGACCCUACAUGUGUAGGAUAGGUGGGAGCCUUUGAAACUUCGUCGCUAGAUGGAGUGGAGGCAAUCUUGAAAUACCACCCUUGUAGUGUUGAUGUUCUAACUUAGACCCCUAAUCGGGGUUGAGGACAGUGCCUGGUGGGUAGUUUGACUGGGGCGGUCUCCUCCCAAAGAGUAACGGAGGAGCACGAAGGUGGGCUAAACACGGUUGGACAUCGUGUGGUUAGUGCAAUGGCAUAAGCCCGCUUGACUGCGAGAAUGACAAUUCGAGCAGGUGCGAAAGCAGGUCAUAGUGAUCCGGUGGUUCUGAAUGGAAGGGCCAUCGCUCAACGGAUAAAAGGUACUCCGGGGAUAACAGGCUGAUACCGCCCAAGAGUUCAUAUCGACGGCGGUGUUUGGCACCUCGAUGUCGGCUCAUCACAUCCUGGGGCUGAAGUCGGUCCCAAGGGUAUGGCUGUUCGCCAUUUAAAGUGGUACGCGAGCUGGGUUUAGAACGUCGUGAGACAGUUCGGUCCCUAUCUGCCGUGGGCGUUGGAAGAUUGAAGGGGGCUGCUCCUAGUACGAGAGGACCGGAGUGGACGAACCUCUGGUGUUCGGGUUGUCAUGCCAAUGGCAUUGCCCGGUAGCUAAGUUCGGAAUCGAUAAGCGCUGAAAGCAUCUAAGCGCGAAGCGAGCCCUGAGAUGAGUCUUCCCUGGCACUUUAAGUGUCCUAAAGGGUUGUUCRAGACUAGAACGUUGAUAGGCAGGGUGUGUAAGUGCUG